rnacentral:rRNA from 1 species
AGUGAACGCUGGCGGUAGGCCUAACACAUGCAAGUCGAACGGCAGCACAGUAAGAGCUUGCUCUUACGGGUGGCGAGUGGCGGACGGGUGAGGAAUACAUCGGCAUCUACUUUUUCGUGGGGGAUAACGUAGGGAAACUUACGCUAAUACCGCAUACGACCUACGGGUGAAAGCAGGGGAUCUUCGGACCUUGCGCGAUUGAAUGAGCCGAUGUCGGAUUAGCUAGUUGGCGGGGUAAAGGCCCACCAAGGCGACGAUCCGUAGCUGGUCUGAGAGGAUGAUCAGCCACACUGGAACUGAGACACGGUCCAGACUCCUACGGGAGGCAGCAGUGGGGAAUAUUGGACAAUGGGCGCAAGCCUGAUCCGGCCAUACCGCGUGGGUGAAGAAGGCCUUCGGGUUGUAAAGCCCUUUUGUUGGGAAAGAAAAGCAGCAGGUUAAUACCCCGCUGUUCUGACGGUACCCAAAGAAUAAGCACCGGCUAACUUCGUG